rnacentral:rRNA from 1 species
AUUGAACGCUGGCGGCAUGCCUUACACAUGCAAGUCGAACGGCAGCACGGGUGCUUGCCCCUGGUGGCGAGUGGCGAACGGGUGAGUAAUACAUCGGAACAUGUCCUUUAGUGGGGGAUAGCCCGGCGAAAGCCGGAUUAAUACCGCAUACGAUCUACGGAUGAAAGCGGGGGACCUUCGGGCCUCGCGCUAUAGGGUUGGCCGAUGGCUGAUUAGCUAGUUGGUGGGGUAAAGGCCUACCAAGGCGACGAUCAGUAGCUGGUCUGAGAGGACGACCAGCCACACUGGGACUGAGACACGGCCCAGACUCCUACGGGAGGCAGCAGUGGGGAAUUUUGGACAAUGGGCGAAAGCCUGAUCCAGCAAUGCCGCGUGUGUGAAGAAGGCCUUCGGGUUGUAAAGCACUUUUGUCCGGAAAGAAAUCCUUGGCUCUAAUACAGUCGGGGGAUGACGGUACCGGAAGAAUAAGCACCGGCUAACUACGUG